UAAGACGAACCGUGCGAACGUUAUUCGGAAUCACUGGGCUUAAAGGGUGCGUAGGCGGCUGAGAGGGUGGGGUGUGAAAUCCCUCGGCUUAACCGAGGAAUUGCGCUCCAAACCGCUUGGCUGGAGUGAGGCAGAGGUGAGCAGAACUAAUGGUGGAGCGGUGAAAUGCGUUGAUAUCAUUAGGAAUACCAGAGGCGAAGGCGGCUCACUGGGCCUCAACUGACGCUGAUGCACGAAAGCUAGGGUAGCGAACGGGAUUAGAUACCCCGGUAGUCCUAGCCGUAAACGAUGAGCACUAGACGGAGGGUUUUUCCACAGACUCUCGGUCGUAGCGAAAGUGUUAAGUGCUCCGCCUGGGGAGUAUGGUCGCAAGGCUG
rnacentral:rRNA from 1 species